AACGAACGCUGGCGGCAGGCCUAACACAUGCAAGUCGAGCGAAGCCUUCGGGCUUAGCGGCGGACGGGUGAAUAACGCGUGGGAACGUGCCCUUUGCUACGGAAUAGCCCCGGGAAACUGGGAGUAAUACCGUAUGUGCCCUUCGGGGGAAAAGUUUAUCGGCAAAGGGUCGGCCCGCGUUGGAUUAGGUAGUUGGUGGGGUAAUGGCCAAGCAAGCAGACGAUCCAUAGCUGAUUUGAGAGGAUGAUCGGCCACACUGGGACAGAGACGCGGCCCGUACUCUUACGGGAGGCAGCAGUGGGGAAUCUUAGACAAUGGGCGGAAACCUGAUCUAGCCAUGCCGCGUGAUCGAUGAAGGCAUUAGGGUUGUAAAGAGCUUUCAGGUGGGAAGAUAAUGACUGUACCACCGGAAGAAGCCCCGGCUAACUCCGUGCCAGCCGCCGCCGUAAGAC
rnacentral:rRNA from 1 species